GACGAACGCUGGCGGCGUGCCUAAUACAUGCAAGUCGAGCGGACAAUUGAGAGCUUGCUCUCAAUUGUUAGCGGCGGACGGGUGAGUAACACGUGGGCAACCUGCCCUGUAGACUGGGAUAACUUCGGGAAACCGAAGCUAAUACCGGAUAAUCUUUAGCGUCACAUGGCGCAAAAGUAAAAGUUGGGUUUACCUAACACUACAGGAUGGGCCCGCGGCGCAUUAGCUAGUUGGUAAGGUAAUGGCUUACCAAGGCGACGAUGCGUAGCCGACCUGAGAGGGUGAUCGGCCACACUGGGACUGAGACACGGCCCAGACUCCUACGGGAGGCAGCAGUAGGGAAUCUUCCGCAAUGGACGAAAGUCUGACGGAGCAACGCCGCGUGAACGAUGAAGGCCUUCGGGUCGUAAAGUUCUGUUGUUAGGGAAGAACAAGUACCGUUCAAAUAGGGCGG
rnacentral:rRNA from 1 species